UACAGAGGGGGCAAGCGUUGUCCGGAUUUACUGGGCGUACAGCGCGCGCAGGCGGUUGCGGAUGUGAGCGGUGACAUCCGCGGGCUCAACCCGCGGCGGCCCGCUUACACAGCGCGACUGGAGGCAGGGAGAGGGAUGUGGAAUACCCGGUGGAGCGGUGAAAUGCGUAGAGAUCGGGUGGAACACCAGCGGCGAAGGCGGCAUCCUGGCCCUGUACUGACGCUGAGGCGCGAUAGCGUGGGGAGCAAACGGG
rnacentral:rRNA from 1 species